GAAGCACCUGGAUUACCUCACAAUUUGCAUAUGCUGUUGUUUUAAAAAAAAAUAAUAUGGGGACGAAGUCCCCAAUUACGGUAGAAAAAUCAAUAAAAAAAAAAAAAAAAAAAAAAAAAAUCGGGAAAAUUUCCCGAAUUUUUCAUUCUACUAAUGAACUCAAAAUCGUUAACUUUUUUUUUCAGAUCUACUUCCUGUUCCGGCUU
rnacentral:lncRNA from 1 species